rnacentral:rRNA from 1 species
GAUGAACGCUGGCGGCGUGCUUAACACAUGCAAGUCGAACGAUGAAGCCCAGCUUGCUGGGUGGAUUAGUGGCGAACGGGUGAGUAACACGUGAGUAACCUGCCCUUAACUCUGGGAUAAGCCUGGGAAACUGGGUCUAAUACCGGAUAGGAGCGCCUACCGCAUGGUGGGUGUUGGAAAGAUUUAUCGGUUUUGGAUGGACUCGCGGCCUAUCAGCUUGUUGGUGAGGUAAUGGCUCACCAAGGCGACGACGGGUAGCCGGCCUGAGAGGGUGACCGGCCACACUGGGACUGAGACACGGCCCAGACUCCUACGGGAGGCAGCAGGGGGGAAUAUUGCACAAUGGGCGAAAGCCUGAUGCAGCGACGCCGCGUGAGGGAUGACGGCCUUCGGGUUGUAAACCUCUUUCAGUAGGGAAGAAGCGAAAGUGACGGUACCUGCAGAAGAAGCACCGGCUAACUACGUG